GGUAUAGCUAAGUGGUAGAGCACAUGCUUAGCAUACACAAGGUCCUGGGUUCAAUCCCCAGUACC
rnacentral:tRNA from 1 species